rnacentral:rRNA from 1 species
ACGGAGGGUGCAAGCGUUAUCCGGAUUUACUGGGUUUAAAGGGUGCGUAGGUGGGUCUGUAAGUCAGUGGUGAAAUCUCCGGGCUUAACCCGGAAACUGCCAUUGAUACUAUAGGUCUUGAAUUAUCUGGAGGUAAGCGGAAUAUGUCAUGUAGCGGUGAAAUGCUUAGAUAUGACAUAGAACACCAAUUGCGAAGGCAGCUUACUACGGAUAUAUUGACACUGAGGCACGAAAGCGUGGGGAUCAAACAGGAUUAGAUACCCUGGUAGUCCACGCCCUAAACGAUGGAUACUCGACAUCAGCGAUACACUGUUGGUGUCUGAGCGAAAGCAUUAAGUAUCCCACCUGGGAAGUACGAUCGCAAGAUUG